GUGAACGAGCGACGCCGCGUGCGGGAUGAAGGGCUUCGGCUUGUAAACCGCUUUUGUUUGGGAAGAAUGCCCGGAUCGUGAAUUCGGGAGGGACGGUACCAGACGAAUAAGCCCCGGCUAACUCCGUGCCAGCAGCCGCGGUAAUACGGAGGGUGCUAACGUUGUUCGGAAUUACUGGGCAUAAAGCGCACGUAGGCGGUCUGCUAAGUCGGUCGUGAAAGCCCCCGGCUCAACCGGGGAAUUGCGUUCGAUACUGGCAGGCUCGAGGACGGUUGGGGUGAGUGGAACUCCAGGUGGAGCGGUGAAAUGCGUAGAUAUCUGGAGGAACACCGGUGGCGAAAGCGGCUCACUGGACCGUAACUGACGCUAAGGUGCGAAAGCUAGGGGAGCAAACGGGAUUAGAUACCCCGGUAGUCCUAGCCGUAAACGAU
rnacentral:rRNA from 1 species